rnacentral:rRNA from 1 species
UUUCCGUAGGUGAACCUGCGGAAGGAUCAUUGUCGAACCCUGCAAAGCAGAACGACCCGUGAACUUGUACCAACAACUGGGAGACGGGGAGACGGACCUCGGUCUGGAUCCCCGCCACCCUCCCGGCUUUCGUUCAUGAUGUUCCCGUGCGGGUCGUCAUGGAUGUCAUGUCGGAAACAUAACAACCCCCGGCACGGAAUGUGCCAAGGAAAACAACAARUGAGAAGGACGCAUCCGGUGUUUGCUCCGUUCGCGGUGUGCAUCCGGGAUGCGGCCUCCUUGAAAUCACAAACGACUCUCGGCAACGGAUAUCUCGGCUCACGCAUCGAUGAAGAACGUAGCAAAAUGCGAUACUUGGUGUGAAUUGCAGAAUCCCGUGAACCAUCGAGUUUUUGAACGCAAGUUGCGCCCGAAGCCAUCCGGUCGAGGGCACGCCUGCCUGGGCGUCACGYAUCGCGUCGCCCCCACCAACCAUCCCCAUGUGGAUUCUUGGCAUCGGGGCGGAGAUUGGCCUCCCAUGCUUCUGGCGUGGUUGGCCUAAACUGGAGUCCCCUUCGGUGGACGCACGACUAGUGGUGGUUGWAAAGACCCUCGUCCUGUGUCRUGCGUCCUAAGCUGUGAGGGAUGCGCUCGAGAAAGACCCACAUGUGUCGUUUCACGACGAUGCUUCGACCGCGACCCCAGGUCAGGCGGGACUACCCGCUGAGUUUAAG